rnacentral:rRNA from 1 species
CGGGUGAGUAACGCGUAUCCAACCUGCCCCAUGCUCCAGAAUAGCUCUUGGAAACGGGUGGUAAUGCUGGAUGCUCCAACUUGACGCAUGUCUUGUUGGGAAAGUGUUUAGUGGCAUGGGAUGGGGUCGCGUCCUAUCAGCUUGUAGGCGGGGUAAUGGCCCACCUAGGCUUCGACGGGUAGCCGGCCUGAGAGGGCGGACGGCCACAUUGGGACUGAGAUACAGCCCAGACUCCUACGGGAGGCAGCAGCA